rnacentral:lncRNA from 1 species
ACUGGGGCGGCGGGGGAAGAAGGCAGCACAGCACACGGGGAGGGAGAAUUGUCAGCGAGGAGGUGAUCCCAGAGGCACAGACAAACGGACAAGGAGCUCAGGAGCAGGGUGAUCCCAGAGGCACAGACAAACGGACAAGGAGCGCAGGAGCAGGGGGAUUUCCCAGCAGGCAAGAAGGA